UCUCUUUCUCUCCUCCCACACACUCACUCACUCCUCCUGCUCUCCAUCUCUCACCUACCGCACUCUCUCCAUCCACCCCCGCUCUCUCUCCUCCCACUCUAAGUUGCUCCUCUCUAGUUUUUCCUCCUUCACGCUCCCUCCCUCGCUCCUCAGGGUCAGGAGGGAGCGUGGAUGGGACGAUGAGGGACGAUCCAUGUUCCAUCCUGUUCCUGAGAGUCGGAAUGCUGGGGCCCCACUCACCUCCCCAGGCAGCGGGAGAGCAGAGGAGGUCCCACGGCAGUGGGUGCCUGCGGUCCAGCCCUGGCCCCCCACACACAGUGAGCUCAAGUUGCCAUCCACCCAACCUCACAUUGCUUGCGCCAUCAAGACCAAUGUCAUCUCCUGAAACCCCUUCAAUGUUAAACAUUUGUAAUGUCACAAUUUCAUGUCAUCAACGUUGCCACCUAACAGAACAAUUCCUGUAUUCAAAUACAAAUUUAUAUCAAUCUGAAGAAGGGUCCCGACCUGAAACGUCAUCUGCCCGCUUCCCUCCACAGACGCUGACUGUCCCGCUGAGUUACUCCAGCAUUUUGUGUCUAUCUUCGAAUAAACCAGCAUCUGCAGUUCUUUGCUACACACCUUCCCAUUAUUAAUCACUUGCGGCUGAGGUUUACACUUGUUGCCCCAAUCUCCAGUCGACCAGGUUUUGCACUCGAGAAUAUCCAGGAUAGGAAAGAUGCCGCAGCCUUUGAAACAAGUUAGAAACUUGAAAUAUUAUUUAAACUUAACGAUAGAUUUAAAAAUAAAAAAUUUUGAAUGCGGUUUGAGGAUCAUUGGCUCGAAUUCAGAACCAAUUUCUGUUUUUUUUUUAAAACGCAUGUUUGUUUAAAUAAUUAAACUUUAUGAACUUAAGAAGAAGCAAAAAAAAAGUGGGGAUUCCUUUGCUGGCCUAUGAUAAAUGACCAUCGCAAGCCUUGAGUCUUCUGUGCAAUUUCAGCAAAGUACAUGUGUGCUAACCUUGUCCACCUGCCUUGCCUCUGUAACAAACAGCUGGAAACAUCUUUCCUGAUCCCCAUCAGGACGUGUCUCGAUCUCGAAACGUCGCCUGUCCUGUCCAUUCCCUGACCCGCUGAGUACCUCCAGAGUUUAGUGUUUGUUUCCUGAUUUGAUCUCAGAUUUCCAGCAUCUGCCGGUGUUUGAUGUCCCCCAUCCACCUGAGGGAAUAUUCAUUCUCAUUAUUAACUGAGCUAACAUGUACUGCUCUCUCUGUGGGGGUGACGGGAUGUUUCUCAGCUCUACAACUCAGAGCAAAGCAAGUUUGUGUGCGUACUCACAAUUCUCUGGCUCUCUGGUAGUAUUCUGGUGAACCUUACACCAUUUAUCUUUUGUACAAUGUAGUAAUUGGAAUAGUGCAGCGUGCAAUCCCACAAGGGCUUACUAUAGAAGUGGCAAACCUACACCUAUUUUAUAUUCUAAUACUUCAGGGCAUAUAUAAGGGCAAAAAUACAAAAAACAAAUGAUUAGCCUUUUUAAUUAUGUUGAUUAAACGACUGUUUCUUUUUAUAGAUAUUUAAUGGUUCCCUAAAUCUCUUGGAGUGCCAGUGUUCUCGACUAUUGUAUUCACCAACUUAAUAGCUGUCUACAUCCUAAACAUUCGUUCUGUGAUCUGUGACUCCUUAAAAUGGCUGUUGUCUUGA